GAUGAACGCUGGCGGCGUGCUUAACACAUGCAAGUCGAACGGAAAGGCCUAUGCUUGUGGGGGUACUCGGGUGGCGAACGGGUGAGUAACACGUGGGUGAGCUGCCCUGCACUUCGGGAUAAGCCUGGGAAACUGGGGCUAAUAACGGAUCGGACCGUGGUUUGGAUGCUGUUGUGGAAAGUUUUUCGGUGUGGGAUGGGCUCGGGGCCUAUCAGCUUGUUGGGGGGGUCAUGGCCUACCAGGCCGUGGACGGGGAGCCGGCCUGAUAGGGUGUAGAGCCAGACUGGAACCGUGAGAGGGGCCACAGUCGGAAGGGUGGCAGCAGGGGGGCAUAUUCGACAAAGGGCUGAAGCGUGAAGCAAGGAGGCCGUGUGGGUGAUGAGGGCUUUCGGGUUGGAAAAACGUUUCGAUAGGAACAACGCGUUUUUGUGACGUUACCUGGAGAAGAAGCACCGGCUAACUACGUG
rnacentral:rRNA from 1 species